rnacentral:rRNA from 1 species
UACAGAGGUCUCAAGCGUUGUUCGGAAUCACUGGGCGUAAAGGGUGCGUAGGCGGGUCUUUAAGUCAGGGGUGAAAUCCUGGAGCUCAACUCCAGAACUGCCUUUGAUACUGAAGAUCUUGAGUUCGGGAGAGGUGAGUGGAACUGCGAGUGUAGAGGUGAAAUUCGUAGAUAUUCGCAAGAACACCAGUGGCGAAGGCGGCUCACUGGCCCGAUACUGACGCUGAUGCACGAAAGCGUGGGGAGCAAACAGG